rnacentral:rRNA from 1 species
GUGCCAGCAGCCGCGGUAAUACGUAGGGUGCAAGCGUUGUCCGGAAUUAUGUGCCAGCAGCCGCGGUAAUACGUAGGGUGCAAGCGUUGUCCGGAAUUAUUGGGCGUAAAGAGCUCGUAGGCGGUGUGUCACGUCUGCCGUGAAAACCUGCGGCUUAACCGUGGGCGUGCGGUGGAUACGGGCAUCACUUGAGUUCGGUAGGGGAGACUGGAAUUCCUGGUGUAGCGGUGGAAUGCGCAGAUAUCAGGAGGAACACCGGUGGCGAAGGCGGGUCUCUGGGCCGAUACUGACGCUGAGGAGCGAAAGCGUGGGGAGCGAACAGGAUUAGAUACCCUGGUAGUCCACGCCGUAAACGUUGGGCGCUAGGUGUGGGGCGCUGUUCACGUGUCCCGUGCCGUAGCUAACGCAUUAAGCGCCCCGCCUGGGGAGUACGGCCG